AACGAACGCUGGCGGCAGGCUUAACACAUGCAAGUCGAACGCCCUAGCAAUAGGGAGUGGCGCACGGGUGAGUAACGCGUGGGAAUGUACCGUUUAGUGGGGGAUAACCAAGGGAAACGUUGGCUAAUACCGCAUACGCCCUUCGGGGGAAAGAUUUAUCGCUAAACGAUCAGCCCGCGUGAGAUUAGGUAGUUGGUGGGGUAACGGCCUACCAAGCCGACGAUCUCUAGCUGGUCUGAGAGGAUGAUCAGCCACCCUGGAACUGAGACACGGUCCAGACUCCUACGGGAGGCAGCAGUGGGGAAUAUUGGACAAUGGGGGCAACCCUGAUCCAGCCAUGCCGCGUGAGUGAUGAAGGCCUUAGGGUUGUAAAGCUCUUUUACCGAUGAAGAUAAUGACGGUAGUCGGAGAAAAAGCCCCGGCUAACUUCGUGCCAGCCGCCGCCGUAA
rnacentral:rRNA from 1 species